GCGCGGAGCCGGAACCCGAGGCUGAGCGGCUGGGUCGGGCCCUGGCAGGGCCGCCUGGGGUCCGGGCAGCUCGGCCGCCAUGAAGCUUACGCGGAAGAUGGUGCUGUCCCGGGCCAAGGCCUCGGAGCUGGACAGUGUGCGAAAGCUCAACUGCUGGGGCAGCCGCCUCACAGAUAUCUCCAUAUGCCGGGAGAUGCCCAGCCUGGAAGUGAUCACCCUCAGCGUCAACAGUGUCUCAACCCUGGAGCCCGUGCGCCAGUGCCAGCACCUGAGUGAGCUUUACCUACGUAAGAACCGCAUCCCCAGCUUGGCCGAGCUCUUCUACCUGAAGGACCUGCCGCGCCUGCGGGUGCUGUGGCUGGCUGAGAACCCCUGCUGCGGGCCCGACCCCCACCUCUACCGCAUGACUGUCCUGCGCAACCUGCCCGGCCUCCAGAAAUUGGACAACCAGACUGUGACUGAGGAGGAGCUGUCCCGAGCGCUGAUGGAGGGGGACGAGAUCACUGCUGCCCCGACCAGAGAGGACACAGAGAGCAGGCGGCCUGGGAUGCCCUUGGCCCUGAGCUGCAUGGACCCUUCAGCCGAAACCGAGCAGGACCCCCUGGGCUUCAGUGCUGAUGAGGCGAGCAGCAGCGUCCAGGAGCAGCUGGGCAUGACGCUGCCAGCCCGGAACCAGCGCCCCUCCUUCCCACCACGAGAGGCCACCAGCAGCCUCAAGAACAGGAACAAUGUGCUGACCGCCAUUCUGCUGCUGCUGAGAGAGCUGGAUGCUGAGGGGCUGGAGCUCGUCAACCAGACGGUGGGCAGCCGCCUCCAGGCCCUGCACAGGCGGGAGCAGCAGGAGGACACCGAGUGACCCCACUGGGCCUCAGCUGCCAGGCCCCACCAGCCGCCAGGCUGUGCCAACAGCACGCCUCCCUGCUGGUUGCCAGGUCUCGUCAGCAUGCCCAGCUUCCGGGCAGUGAGCCCACAGCCUGGGGGAUUUCUGGGGCCUACCAGAACAGAGGGUGCACCCACAGAAGAACUGAAGCUGUGAACGUGUCUGAGCCACAACGAAGAAUGGCCAGCUUAUGCUGGUGUGUGUCAUCCAGCUGGAGAAGAGAGAGCCGACAUCUCCUGCCCUUUCCUGCUGCUGGGGCUUGGGUGCAGAUCCUGGUCAACUAUCUCAAAGCCAUGCAAGCUGAAGCACAUAGCUUAUACUGACGGGAUAACCAGCCGAAGGACUGACAAGCCGGAGGGGUGCAGGAUGCCCUUCAUGUACAGGCAGGCACCACAGGCUCAGCCCCUAAGCACAGGACGUUCAGGUGGCGGUGCCGUCACAUGAAGAUGAAGCUACUCUAAACCGUUUUAAAGCUAUUUCUAAAAUUGUCAGAAGCCAUCAUGACCCUGCCUGUGGAAGACCCAGGGUGAAGGUGGGGUGCUUUGUAUGUGGCGUUACUGCCUAAGUUCUCUGGAUAUGGAGCUUGGCCUCUGAGCUGUGGGAAGCAGAGAGUGGCUGCCUGGGGACGUCGAGGCAGGUUUGUCCCAAGGCCUGGCCCUGUGCCUUCUCUGUGAUUGAUGGGCUGCCGGAUGCUCUCAAUAAAGCACUCUUUGUCAGAACAAGUUGGUGGGGUGACGUUACAUUAGGAAUGCCCCCCUCUCUCCUACCCACCGUGCCUGCACCACCAGAGAUGCCCUGAAGGGGGCGCCACACAGCUUCCCCACGGGUCCCUUCCUCCCUGCCCUGGCACAAGUUGUGGGGCACUGCUGUUUGGACCAGUCGGGCCUCAGCCCCCCACCAUCACCUCCUCGCCUUACUUCCCAAAGCUGCUCUUCUAGGCCCCUUGACGCCUUCAAGCUGGGUUUGAGGACAAGGUACAGCAAGUUCACCCCAUUUCCUCUGUUGGGGGGGGCACUGAAGCCAGUGGGCACUGGGC